rnacentral:lncRNA from 1 species
UAUAAAUAAAAAAUAUUUUUAUGGCUGUACAACGUGUUUGUGUUUUAAGCUUUAUUACAAGAGUCCAAAAGUUUAAAGAUUUUUUUAAUGCUUAUAAAGUAAAAAGUUACAGUAAACGAAGGUUAGUUAAUGAUUAAAGAAAAAAUAUUUUGCUAUAAACUUGGUGUUGCCUAAACAUACAGUGUUUAUAAAGUUUACAGUAGUAUAUAGUAAUGCCAUCAGCCUUCACAUUCACUCACCACUCACUCACUGCCUCACCCAGAGCAACUUUAGGUUCUGUGAUCUCCACUCACGGUGUGCCUCUGCCAAUCAACUAAAGGCCUUAAGAACAAAAACUGGGAUUCCCCAGGGAAGAAGAAAUUCUGCCUCAAAAUUUAACAUAGAAAUCCUGCCUGCAUUCCAGUCUGCUGGCCUGCCCUACAGAUUUCGGACUUCUUAUCCCCAGCAGUCAUCAGAAAAUCAAUACCACACACUGGAGGGGAAGAUGGAGAGUUAAAACGUCCUCUUCACACGGGUGAGUAAACACCACCUCCGUGCUCGGGAUGGCGCAGCACAGAACUCCAGGCUGUAAGUCAAGCUCCAAAUAAAACCCUUCCCGAGCACAGAGCACUCAGCCCCAAAGCUGGCAUAGCAGAGCCCUUCGCCUCAUAUAAUUUCACUUUUGUGCAACUGCAGAUCUGUGUGCGCCUGCAAAAUUGCAUAAUUCACCAUUUACCCAGCGAUUAUUCCAGCAAACCUAUUGUUUGCACACCGAUUUGCCUGCCUGACUAAUAAAUCCACAGGAAGGGAGGGGAGAGAGAAGGAAAGUUCUCAGCAUCACACUGUGUUCUCAGUGUCUCCUUCAUCUCAAGCUGCCUGCCCCUCCCACAUUUAGAGAAAAUCACAAGUCUCAGAGUUUCAAUGAAUAGAAGCUUUGCGUGGGUCCUCCUCUCCCCAGUCUUCACCACUUUCUGAAAAAGAUGCAUGUAUUUCACAUCUGUUGUGUCUUAACCUGGUUAUGUCUCCCUCUCCUCAGGUCUGAAACAAAGCUUCCUUUCCUCUUGGCUUCUCCCUUGUUGCUCUUACAUUUUUCCUGAGAUGUCCUGGUAUUUCUGGUUUCUCCACACAUUGAGUCAGAUCUGAGUAUGGGUUACAGAAAGUGUCUACUGUCAUUCUGUCAUUACCAAAUACUAAAGGUAGGCAGACUCUGCCUACCUUUAGUAUUUGGAAAAGACAGCUUUUCACAGCCCACAUCCUCAGGCUAGUAUUGUUCCGCUACAAUGAUUAUAAAAGAUAAGACAUUGUUCAAAUGUUCUGAUGCUGGGAACCAUCUAAAAGCAGAGCUUUGAAAAUACAAAACAUUGCUAGUUCCUAGGGACAAAAUUUACAUCUUUUUUGUGUGUGUCACCACAAAGCUCUUCAACACCCCUGUAGAAGGGAGCCCUAAUUACUUGUGACACUCCAGAGGAGCUGUGAGAAGCACAGAAGCAAGCUGGUGCAUGAUGAUGAGGAACUGGGACACGGUGGCCUGAGUGAGUCAGAAGUCAAGAGAAGCUGCUGCGGCCCUUCGUCACAAAAACUCCCCAGCUCUGCUCACAGGGAGCCAGUUCCUUUUACCUACUGAUUUUUUCCUUGUUAAUUACAUCACAAUGUACAAUAAUUUCUGAACUAUUAAUCUUCCUGAUAUCGAACUAUGUAUGUGCUUUUUGGGUUAUAGUACAUAAAGGGAAAUGUCUUUUGUACGGGCUUAUACAAUAGACAUGUUUUAGGAAACAUGAGUGAGUUGCAUUUUAUAAAUCAAAUGAAAGCACUUGGAAGCGUCAUGAUUUGAAGACAUUUUACUGUAUACCUGCUUAUAAAAUACAUAAUGUUUCUGAUAAAUAUGGUUUUACUCAUGCGUUUUUUCAAGUAGGAAUGUGUUUUCUGAUUUAGAAAAUGGGCAUAGUAGUAUAUUUCCAAAUAGAAAAUUGUUAUAAUUUUCUUGAUAGAUCCGCCCAGUCUAUUGCAGUGCCUCACUAAGGCCAGAUUUUGCAUAAUCUACAGUUAAAUUCUGGAAUACCCUCAGGCAUAACUUCUGUAUCCCACACAAGACCUUAGAAAAAUCUAUUUGUGAAAAGGCAGCAAGCCUGCGUCAGAUUAGAGCAAACAUUACACAGCCAUCCUAGCAAGACUGUCGCUUCUUGUCCAGAACUGCACCAUUUCUUAAGGCAAAAUAUCAAUAUGAGGUGAUAUUGAUACCUGAGAUACCUGAUAGUCUUUUUAUCCUGAUCACUUGGUCACUUAGCAACCUUUCUCUCUCUCCCCCCUCCACCCCCCGUCCUUUCUCUCUCUCAUAUAUAUAUAUAUAUAUAUUUCACUUUAAUAAUGAGUUUCUACAUUUAGGGCUUCCUAUAAAAUGAAACAAGUUUACUUUUGAAAUGGAAAUUUUUUCUUACUGAAAAUAUAUAUUUAGGUACAGUCUGGAUGACAACUAAUUAGGUAUGUUGGAAGCACCUUAGAGAUUGAAGUUUGUACUAAUGUGCCUGUAAGAGGAUUAUUGUGUGUGUGUGUGUGCGUGCACACACACACACACACACACAGUGUUUUAAUUAGCUACAAUACUCUUAACAAAAAAUUUCCAUUUG